GAGUGCGAUAACACCUCCAGUGCGAUCGCUGGUACGGUGUUGUGAGCGCUUUUAUUCGUAACGCGUGAUAGCUGAGUUGUUGGGUUGUGCAGGACCUCCGCUGAGAAUCCAUGGGAACCCGAGAGGUGUGGAGAUCAUUACUGGCGAUCAUUGACAGACAAGGGGAGCCCUUUCAGUCGCCGGAGCCCAGGGCACCGCUUCCCGUGGGAUUGGGAAUGGAUCCUGUUUUCAUGUCUCCCAGUGAUGUAUGAGAGCAGAAAGGGAGCUCUGGAGAAUCGUGUGCAACUGUACAGCUAUCGAUCUGACUCGACGACUCUCUUUAUCAGGGGGUCCUGUGCCUCCUCGCCAGGGUUUGUCCUAUGAAAAUGACAUUUGCAGUAUACAGUUUGUGGGAGAUCGUGCUGAUGGCCAUGUGAUAGAUCGAUGAGAUAUUAAGCUGAGGAGUUCAGCUGGAAUUUAAGAUUCUGUGUUACUAUUCACAUUUCAAAUGGUAUAAAAGUGAAAAGACUGAAAUAAAGUUGGACCAUGGGGAGUCUGCACAAGACCAAAUUAAUAGAUGUAAUUGAACAAAGACUUCAGAGAGAGCUGUCUAAUCAUGUUACAAAGCAAUCAUUAAAAUCACAGCACGUACUGAGGACAAUAACAAG